UGAAGGGAGGAUCGGCUUCUCAGUCUCGGGAGAGCCCUGUGAUUUCCAUCAUCUGGAAAUCUUACCUUUCAGGAUGGGGGCAGCUAGACUCGAACCUGCUUCGAGAGUGCAACUGGAGAAGAGAUUCAGCUAUGGAAUCUGAAAUUCCUCAGUUUCUGAACCUGUUAAAAAAGAACUGCCCGGACUGAUUAGAAAGAUCGAGACUGCAGAAUUAGGACACUUUUUGUCGACAAUGCGUGGCUCUCCAGAUACAACCCUGGAUUGUCAGAAAAAACAGCUGGGCACCUAUUUGUCAUGGCAGACAUGGGGUUGGGAAAGGUUCAAAUGACUCUACCUCCCUGCUAUCUCUGAAUUGAUGUCAGCCGCUCUCACCUGUACUGAAUGGCUUUCUGACCUUUUCUCCAGUCAAGAGAAAGUUGGAAGCUCACUUCAGGAGAGCCUCAGGCUUUCUCUGCUUCUGUUCAGGAUUUAUAUUUUCGGGCCCUGGUUUAAUUGUCCCCCCUUUUCUUCCAUUUGUAAUGGAUUCCUACAUCACAGACCACUAUUCAAAAGAAUAAAAUUAAAUCUCUUAUCUAGAAACAUGAACUCAUUGCUCUUUGCUGACUAUAAGUCCAAUUCAUUUUUGACAUCUUCAUCAAACAUGACUGUGAUUACCACAGCGAGAGUUAAACAAAGAGGAAAAUGAAAUGCUUUAAAUUACGGGAGCUCUGAAUCAGAUUCUCUCCCUGGGGAAUUCAGUAUGAGGGAAUCUUUCUCCAGGUUCUCAUCUGGUCUGCAGUUGGUAAGAUUGAUUCUGCCAGGUGACCUGAUUUUAAAAUUGAACUAUUAAGAUGGUGCUGGCUUAAACCCAGGAGGACAUAGGAUGUUUUGCUUCAGUAUCUGUGUGGGAAGUCUUUUUUAAAAAGAGGAGAGAUCACAAUGGAAUCUGGCUUCCCCUUUGUAGACAGGCGGGUGGUGACUCAUGCUAUCUUCUGUAGAGUAAACAAGCUGUGGUACUGUUGAUUUCUUGGUCUAAGCCUGGUUAUUUGUGUAAAUGUGUAUGGUAUUGGCAGUCUUUAUGUAUAAAGAUGCCUCAAUAAUAUUGGCACUGGAAAUUACCUGAAAACCACUUGGAAACUGGAACAAGGUGUCAGAAUAUUUGGUUUAUCUGAUUGAAGGUCCAGGUAGGUCGGCUGUUUUGAAAAUUUCAGGUGGACCUCGUGAUACAGAGGGAUAUGUUUCUUGGAAAUGUGGUUGAAUCGUGAAUGGCUGGAUUAUGGGGUGCAUUUUUUUUGCACAGAUUUACAUUUCAAAUAUUUGAAACUGUUCAAAUUUUCAGUUCCAAAACUUGUAAAAAAAAAAAAAAGAAAUUCCUAUAUGUUCA